rnacentral:rRNA from 1 species
UACAGAGGGUGCGAGCGUUAAUCGGAAUUACUGGGCGUAAAGCGUGCGCAGGCGGUUUUGUAAGUCAGAUGUGAAAUCCCCGGGCUUAACCUGGGAACUGCGUUUGAAACUACAAGGCUAGAGUGUGGCAGAGGGGGGUGGAAUUCCACGUGUAGCAGUGAAAUGCGUAGAGAUGUGGAGGAACACCGAUGGCGAAGGCAGCCCCCUGGGUUAACACUGACGCUCAGGCACGAAAGCGUGGGGAGCAAACAGGAUUAGAUACCCCUGUAGUCC